rnacentral:rRNA from 1 species
UACGGAGGGGGCGAACGUUAUUCGGAAUUAUUGGGCGUAAAGGGCGCGUAGGCGGCUUGACAAGUCAAAGGUGAAAUCCCUCGGCUCAACUGAGGAACUGCCUUUGAAACUGUCUGGCUUGAGGCCGGGAGGGGGUAGCGGAAUUCCCAGUGUAGCGGUGAAAUGCGUAGAUACUGGGAGGAACACCAGUGGCGAAGGCGGCUACCUGGACCGGUUCUGACGCUGAGGCGCGAAAGCGUGGGUAGCAAACAGG